GAUGAACGCUAGCGACAGGCCUAACACAUGCAAGUCGAGGGGCAGCACUUCGGGUGGCGACCGGCGCACGGGUGAGUAACGCGUAUGUAACCUGCCUACAACAGGGGUAUAGCUCGCUGAAAAGCGAAUUAAGACCGCAUAAGACUACGAUAUCGCAUGGUAACGUGGUAAAAUAUUUAUAGGUUGUAGAUGGGCAUGCGUGACAUUAGCUAGUUGGUAGGGUAACGGCCUACCAAGGCAACGAUGUCUAGGGGUUCUGAGAGGAAGGUCCCCCANACUGGUACUGAGACACGGACCAGACUCCUACGGGAGGCAGCAGUGAGGAAUAUUGGUCAAAUGGGGCGAGAGCCUGAACCAGCCAUGUCGCGUGCAGGAUGACUGCCCUAUGGGUUGUAAACUGCUUUUGUACGGGAGAAAAUGAGCUACGUGUAGCUUUUUGCCGGUACCGUACGAAUAAGGAUCGGCUAACUCCGUG
rnacentral:rRNA from 1 species